GAUGAACGCUGGCGGCGUGCCUAAUACAUGCAAGUCGAGCGAACAGACGAGGAGCUUGCUCCUCUGACGUUAGCGGCGGACGGGUGAGUAACACGUGGAUAACCUACCUAUAAGACUGGGAUAACUUCGGGAAACCGGAGCUAAUACCGGAUAAUAUAUUGAACCGCAUGGUUCAAUAGUGAAAGACGGUUUUGCUGUCACUUAUAGAUGUAUCCGCGCCGCAUUAGCUAGUUGGUAAGGUAACGGCUUACCAAGGAAACGACGCGUAGCCGACCUGAGGGGGUGAUCGGCCACCCUGGAACUGGGACACGGUCCAGAGUCCUACGGGAGGCAGCAGUAGGGAAUCUUCCGCAAUGGGCGAAAGCCUGACGGAGCAACGCCGCGUGAGUGAUGAAGGUCUUCGGAUCGUAAAACUCUGUUAUUAGGGAAGAACAAAUGUGUAAGUAACUAUGCACGUCUUGACGGUACCUAAUCAGAAAGCCACGGCUAACUACGUG
rnacentral:rRNA from 1 species